rnacentral:lncRNA from 1 species
AGAAAGCGCUACUGCGGAGUGAACCGGUCCUUAUAUCUUAGUUUCGUGACUUUGGGGGCGGCAGGCCUGUGAGUUGUUUUCCGCCCUGGACGCUGUUUUGCAAAGAUCUCUGCGCGCCCACCGCCACCCUCCCGGGCGUGCGGGCCGGGAAGCAGCCAGCGGUGGGAAACUCCGACGCCCUCCUCGACACUUUUCUCCCCCCAACUCCCCAAGACUCACUUCUAGGGAAGUCCUUUUUCCCAUCAAGCCCUGGGAAAGACUGGCCAGGCUGAGAGAGGGACCCGUCCUCCUCUGUGCCAAAGGCGGGAGCAAAUCCUGGUGCUGUCGCCUUUGGAUGUGAGUCCUGGAAAUGGCGGGGGUGAGGAAGGUGGGCAGGGGCAAGGUUUGGCCCUCAGGCGAGAACCGACGCCUUGUCCCGGAAGCGCAGCACGGCCGAGUGCGUCCGGGGGUGCAGACGGCGCCCUGGGGUGGUCCUGCCGCCACCUCUCCUUUGACUCAGGAGCGCCGCGCCGCGUCCGGGCGCGUUCUCAGUCGCGCGAAGCCAGAGAGGACCCUGGGCGUGAUUCUCCCUCCCUGGCACAGACGGAGACCCGAGUGACCCCGGGGUCCGGGUGGGCGUGGGGAAUGGACCCAUAGACCCGGGACGAGCGGCGCGGAGCCCGCAGCUGGCCAGCUUCAGCCACCUUGGGAGACGCAGUGCAGCUGCCGCUGCUGACAGACAAGACCAAGGCUCGGCUGGGCCCCACCCCAGAUCCGGCCUGAGCGCCUUCCGCGCUGCUCGGCCUCAAGGCGAAACUUUUCGCGCAGAAACUCCUGGAGAACAGCCCCGGCCGCCAGGUACUCGCCCGCCCGGACCGCAAAGCCCACAGAGCUUCAAUUCGCAGGAAGGGGAGUGGGGAGCCCUGAGCUGGGGUGUUCCUGGAAGAGGUCGGGGAGCGGGGGGAGAGGCAUUCCAGGCUGGAGGCCUGGAAACGUUUGGAAGCUUUGCUAACCUUGGAGACCAUGUCAGGAAAGAAGCGUACCCAGGCCGUCUGCUGUGUGCCCACCCCGAUCCCCAUCAGUGCCCCACGCACUCGAGCUCUUCUUCGGCGUCUGCAGCCUCUUCAUCCGCGCGGAGAGGCGGAGGUCUCCCGGAAACAGUGUCCGACUGUGGCACCCCAGAGCGUCCAAUGCGAGCUCAGGCCUUUCCCGCAAGUCUGGAGUUUUCUUAUCCAGUUGAGGCCGCCUUCGCUGUACUCACUCUCUGCCUCCCACCCCAUCUUCUGCCACCCGACCUCCAUCUUUGAUGGUUAGCGCCUUCAGCCCUCAACAGCUUCGCACAACCAACCCCUAGAAGCCGUGGAGUCAGACCGGCCAGGGUGGGACCUAGGUUUUAACUCGGGUUCUGGCUACACACGCUGCGCCUCCAUACAGUUUGUCCCAGGUUUGGCAGCAGGCCGGCUACCUUCAGGAAUUCUUUGCUUUGGCUUCUGUCUGUUCCUGUCUGUUGGGCAAGUUUCUAGCUACCCCACUGAGAGAACCAUAGAACAAGGACCCUGGCAUGGCAUACAGACAAGGAAUGUUUGCUGAAUUAAUGGAGCUGGUGCCUUGCAGCUUCCCUUUUGUUCCUUGAAGUUGCCCUUGCUCUCCUCCACAUCAGCUCCCUCUCCUCCUCAGCUACUUAUUCCCCACCCUGGCUUCUUCUAGUCGCAGUCCCCAAGUACUUGCUGAAUCCUGUAUGGACAGCCUAAGCCUCCAUUUCUGACAAUUCCUGUGGCCCCACUCCAUUUGUUUUUUAGACUUCUCCCUCCUUUUUGUCCCCAUCCCCCAAGUUAUAAAACUAUAAUG